UACAGAGGGGGCAAGCGUUAUUCGGAAUUAUUGGGCGUAAAGGGCGCGUAGGCGGCUUGGCAAGUGGAAGGUGAAAUCCCUCGGCUUAACCGAGGAACUGCCCUCCAAACUGCUUUGCUUGAGGCCGGGAGAGGCGAGUGGAAUUCCCAGUGUAGCGGUGAAAUGCGUAGAUAUUGGGAGGAACACCAGUGGCGAAGGCGGCUCGCUGGACCGUAACUGACGCUGAGACACGAAAGCGUGGGUAGCAAACAGG
rnacentral:rRNA from 1 species